UGGCGGACCGGCGCACGGGUGAGUAACGCGUAUGCAACUUACCUAUCAGAGGGGGAUAGCCCGGCGAAAGUCGGAUUAAUACCCCAUAAAACAGGGGUCCCGCAUGGGAAUAUUUGUUAAAGAUUCAUCGCUGAUAGAUAGGCAUGCGUUCCAUUAGGCAGUUGGCGGGGUAACGGCCCACCAAACCGACGAUGGAUAGGGGUUCUGAGAGGAAGGUCCCCCACAUUGGAACUGAGACACGGUCCAA
rnacentral:rRNA from 1 species